GGUAUGAGCUUUUGUGUGCAUGCACACUUCUUCAAAUAUCUUCUUCAGGUAUCUGAUGAAGUGUGCAUGCACACAAAAGCUCAUAUC